UCUGUGGAGAGGGCUGAGGACAGAGAGGGCUGAAAAGCCCCUCCCUCAGCCCUGCACCCCUUCAGCAGCGCUGUGGGGUAAGCUGGAACCCUGCUGGGCCUCACACCUCACCGCCCUUCUUCUGUCUUCUGCGUGCUGUCUCCCAGGCCCACCCUCUCCUCUGGAAGCACUGGAACCCUCUUCACAACUCAUUUCUCUCUCACGUGGAGUCAUUGGUCGAACAGGAAAACAGGCUUGCAGAAGACUGCUGACUCACACCAGGUUCCACCAGAAACAGACUCUGAGAUUUUCACACAGGAGAAUUCCUGGGGAACGACACCUGCUGAGUGAGGGGGCAAAAGAAGCAGAACUGGCAGAGAGAAAAGCUGAAGGACGAUGCGGUUGGAAGAGCGGAGAGCUCGGAAGCUGGGAUGGCCCUUCAGAAGCGGCCCUCACUGAGGAGAAGCUCCGCUGAGGCCCAGAGAAAUGACGGUGGGAGGGGUCAGCAAGAGAGCCUUGAAAUGGAAUGCUGGAGCUCUCGGGAUGGACGGGGUACCACGACAGCUGUCCUGCAGAUGGAGAAGAGCAUUUGAACUUUGAGUUUAUAUUUCUAGAAAAACUUCCCCUCCCCCUCUUUUUCUCCAGCUCAACUCCCUUGCUGUAUUAUGGGGCUUUUGUGAGGUUUAGAAAAAUAAACAGAAUCUAACCAUAACUGUCUGAAAGUGCUAAAUUACCAAG